GCCCGGCUGUGGGAGCCUUGAGCUCGCUGUGCGCACCCCGCGUUCUCAGAGGCGGCCCGCGCCUGUCCUGGGCCCAGAUGGACCCGAAUGCCUUUCCGCCCGUUUUCCUCCUGCAGAAGCGAUGGGAGCGCCCGGCCGGUGGAGGAGGAGCUGAAGCUGGGACAGCUGUCAGCGCCCCGGCCCGAGCCCUGCGCCCCGGGCGCAUCGUCCCCCUGUUGACUGGGCCGCCUCCGCCCCAAGGGUCCCGGGACUGAAGGAGCCGCGCAGCAGGCACCGUGGCUGGCGCAUCCGAAGGGCCAAGGCUGCUGGGCACUGUCGGUGGGCAGGGACCUGGGUGCCUGCAGGCCCAGGCGGGGGAUGGGGCCCUCGUGCGCCGAGAACUGUUAGAAGGCAACGCGCCAGGGCCGCCCGAGAACAGACGUCUCCAGGAGUAUUUACUGUGCUUUCAUGAGGAGAAUUUCCAGGCUGCCCCUUGAAGCAAUGACGUUGGAUUUGGAGCAAAUGGAAACAUUGUGAAAUUGCUUAUUUUCUUCCAAAAUCUGUAUUUUCUUCCUUGCUUCCUGUUCAGUCAGGCCCACUCAUUAGCAACCAUGUCUUUGCGUUAUGCUCAGCAGAAGUUUUGCUCCGUGACCAUAUUCCAAAUUAAACUUUUAUGUUUCCAGGAAAA